GCUACCCGCUGACGAGCGGCGGACGGGUGAGUAAUGCUUAGGAAUCUACCCAGUAGUGGGGGAUAGCCCGGGGAAACCCGGAUUAAUACCGCAUACGUCCUACGGGAGAAAGCAGGGGAUCUUCGGACCUUGCGCUAUUGGAUGAGCCUAAGUCGGAUUAGCUAGUUGGUGGGGUAAAGGCCUACCAAGGCGACGAUCCGUAGCUGGUCUGAGAGGAUGAUCAGCCACAUCGGGACUGAGACACGGCCCGAACUCCUACGGGAGGCAGCAGUGGGGAAUAUUGGACAAUGGGGGCAACCCUGAUCCAGCCAUGCCGCGUGUGUGAAGAAGGCUUUCGGGUUGUAAAGCACUUUCAGUAGGGAGGAAAACCUUAUGGCUAAUACCCAUAAGGCUUGACGUUACCUACAGAAGAAGCACCGGCUAACUCCGUGCCAGCAGCCGCGGUAAUACGGAGGGUGCAAGCGUUAAUCGGAAUUACUGGGCGUAAAGCGCGCGUAGGUGGUUUGGUAAGCGAGAUGUGAAAGCCCCGGGCUUAACCUGGGAACGGCAUUUCGAACUGUCAGACUAGAGUGUGGUAGAGGGUAGUGGAAUUUCCUGUGU
rnacentral:rRNA from 2 species